rnacentral:rRNA from 1 species
UGAGUAAUCUGCCCUUCUCAUCGGAAUAAGCGUUGGAAACGACGUCUAAUGCCAAAUACGACCUCCUUUCGCAUGAUCGGAGGUGGAAAGCUCCGGCGGAGAAGGAUGAGCUCGCGGCCUAUCAGCUAGUUGGUGUGGGUAAUGGCCCACCAAGGCGACGACGGGUAGCCGGCCUGAGGAGGGUGACCCGGCCACACGUGGGACUGAGACACGGCCCAGACCUCCGUACGGGGAGGNAGCG